GUGGGGAGGGGGCCUAGGUUGCUGACUCUGAGCUCUGCUGCGGUGAGCCUUGAGCUAGCGACUCUCUGAGCGUCUGGCUGCGCGUGUGUGACCGUGGGCUUCGGCGGCGCCGACCGUAGCGUGGCCGCGUUAGCUGCUCCUCGCAACUUGCACACCUUGCUCACCUGGCAGCGCUGGUGAGCCCCGGCGGCCGGGCUGCGCUCUCUUCAAGUGGCUGCCUGUAGAUGAGGAUUUCCCCACCCCGCUAGGAUUCUCUAUCUGGCCAAAGCAGAGAGAGAACUAGUGGGACAGACAGGGAGAAGAGCGGAGCAGGAGGAAGAAGAGCGGAACCGGUGGGCCGUGACCUUCGUAGUGCGGUGGCAGAGCAGAGGAGGAGGCACCAGGAGCGGGCAGAGGAUCCAUCAGCUGUGGCAGGUGCAUUUCCCUUCGUUGAGGAGCAGUGACAUGGACACCAGGUGUGGUGAC
rnacentral:lncRNA from 1 species